rnacentral:rRNA from 1 species
AUUGAACGCUGGCGGCAGGCCUAACACAUGCAAGUCGAGCGGAUGAAGGGAGCUUGCUCCUGGAUUCAGCGGCGGACGGGUGAGUAAUGCCUAGGAAUCUGCCUGGUAGUGGGGGAUAACGUCCGGAAACGGGCGCUAAUACCGCAUACGUCCUGAGGGAGAAAGUGGGGGAUCUUCGGACCUCACGCUAUCAGAUGAGCCUAGGUCGGAUUAGCUAGUUGGUGGGGUAAAGGCCUACCAAGGCGACGAUCCGUAACUGGUCUGAGAGGAUGAUCAGUCACACUGGAACUGAGACACGGUCCAGGCUCCUACGGGAGGCAGCAGUGGGGAAUAUUGGACAAUGGGCGAAAGCCUGAUGCAGCCAUGCCGCGUGUGUGAAGAAGGUCUUCGGAUUGUAAAGCACUUUAAGUUGGGAGGAAGGGCAGUAAGUUAAUACCUUGCUGUUUUGACGUUACCAACAGAAUAAGCACCGGCUAACUUCGUG